GGAGACGCCGUCGGUGGCCAACAAACAGUGCCCCGGGAAGGAGCUGGUGGUGCUCGUGGGGCGACUGCUGGUGGUGGAAUUCUUCCUCCGCUACGAUACCUUCACCGCCGACGUGGGCACCAUACUUCUUGGCUCUCAGGUCACCGUCACCUCGUUGACCAAGUCCUCCUACUCCUCCUCGUCCACCACCACCACCAACUUGUAGCUCGUUGACCACAGGCUCUUCUUUCGUCUGUCUCGCAAAGUGUUGAUCGAGUUCUGUAAUGAGUGUGUUGUUUAAGUGGUUCGA
rnacentral:lncRNA from 1 species